ACGUAUUAAUUCAACUUUUGUCCAACGGAGCAUUGUUGCGAGUUUUCUGCGACCGUUGGAAGUGUUUGUGGAUUUCGGACAACUUUCGAAUAAUUAUUAGUGUUUAUUGCAAAGAAAACUAUUUAAAGUAGUUUUUUAACUAUCUACAAUGGUUCGCCAGUGCAUAGUUUGUUAAAGGUGGACUAUUCUAACUCCUGAUUGAUAUUUGGACGUUUUGGAACCCUUUACACUUUUACCCACACUUACCUAAACACCCACACACACACAAUUCACAGGCGAGUACAUAUCUGGUGUUUUAAAUAGAGGAAAAUAAACCUUGGAAAAUUUUUCCUUUAGCGUUCCUAUAAAUACUGAGCUUAGACAAUGAUCGAUUUCACUCUUGAAUUUGAAAAAUCAAACUAACGUGUGUCCAAAUUUGUUCUGAUGAUUUUGAUAAGAGCAAUAUUAUGAUCGCCGAAUUAACUGAUCGAAGGCAAAUAAGACCAAAUUCUGAGCCUCAAAUAGAUAGUACCAUUUUUGCUGGGGCUUUAUCAUACAGGUUUUCUUCUAGUUUGUACCGCCACCCAAAAAAUGUUUUAGGUAAAUGAACCUCCAGACCAGCUGAGGGACUAGAGAAGGUCCCUACCUAGUCCCGCGAUUGGCAGUUUGGCUGGCCCCUCAAAUUUGAUUUUGCCUAAAAUCAUACAAGAUAAACUAGCCCUUCUCAAGAAGCCCUUCCCUCAAAACAACAGAAACGGCAUUGGAAAAAGAAGUUGGAAUUAACCAGUAUGUGCUCUUUCAUAGUAAGACAAUCCUCAUCUUCUGAUCUCUCAAUAGUUGGAUAUUUAUUAUCUCAAGAAAGUCGUCAAAGUAUCAGAAAAAGAAAGAAGUAUGUUAAUGAGGCAUUAUAAUGAUAUUAUGUAGAAAUUUAAGUCUUGUAAAAAUUUGGAAA